rnacentral:lncRNA from 1 species
GUUAUCGAGAUCGUAUGUGGUGUAGUGCUUGCAACAGGCAGAGACCUUAAGGCUGCGUUUGGUUGGAGAACUAAAUUUUGAAGAACAACUUUUGUUGUUCCCGAGAACAGGGGAUAUUCUGGUACAAGAUAGAAUAAUUGUAAAUUUGUGUUUGGAUGCAUUCGAGGAUAUUCUAGAGGAUAUCCUUAAUAGCGUUUGGAUAAAAAGUCUAGAACAACGUCUAAAUAUAUUUUUAAAAAUAAAAUAAUUAAUUUAUAUUAGUAUAUUUUAUAUAAAAUUAUUUAUAAAAUUAUUUCAUAUAGUAAUUUAUAAUAUAAUAUUUUAUGUAAGAAUCUAAUUUAAAAUAUUAUAUUAUAUUUUAUUAUAUAUAAUAAUUUAUUUUAUGUAAUAAUUUAUUUUCUAUAAUUUAUUCAUAAUAUAUUAAUGAAUAAAGUAUAAUACUAACAAUAUCCCUAUAUUUUUAAUUAAUAAUUAGUAUAAAUUUUAAUACAAAUAAAAAAUAUAUAUAUAAUUAAAUAUUAAAGUAUAAAUGAUAGAGUUUAAUAAAAUAAAAAAUAUAUCAAAUUUAAUUAAUUUAUAUUAUAUAAUAAAAUUUAAGUAUAAAUAUAUUAUCAUAAAAAUUUAAGUAUAAAUUUCAAUACAAAUUAAAAUAUAUAUAUAAUAUAUGAAAAAAAGAUUUUAUGUAUAUAAUACUUAAUAUAAAAUAAAAUAAUUAAAUAUUAAUAUAUAAAUGAUAAAACUUAAUAAAAUAAAAAAUAUAUCAAAUUUAAUUAAUUUAUAUAAUAUAAUAAAAUUUAAGUGUAAAUAUAUUGUCAUAAAAAUAAUAUUUAUAUUAAUAUAUGUAUUAUUUAUUAAAUUUGAGAAUUUAUUUAAUUUAUUUGAAAUCAAUUAAAAUAAAGUAUAAAAAAAAUAAAAUGGCAUAAAAAGAAGAAAAGAGACAAAAAAAAAAAGUUCCAGCUUGUUCUCCACUUCAUGGAGAACAAUCUUAACAGGUUGUUUCCGGAACAACCCGUUAAGCCCGGAACAACCGGGUUGUUUCAUUUUGCAUUACGUUUGGGAGGACAACGAGGAAUAUUCCGCCUUAUUCUGGGAUAUACUUCUAACUAAAC